GAGUCAACUCCUAUAGGGGCGAUUGGGCCCGACGUCGCAUGCUCCCGGCCGCCAUGGCCGCGGGAUUAACCCUGAUGCAGCAACGCCGCGUGAGGGAUGACGGCCUUCGGGUUGUAAACCUCUUUUAGUAGGGAAGAAGCGAAAGUGACGGUACCUGCAGAAAAAGCACCGGCUAACUACGUGCCAGCAGCCGCGGUAAUACGUAGGGUGCAAGCGUUGUCCGGAAUUAUUGGGCGUAAAGAGCUCGUAGGCGGCUUGUCGCGUCUGCUGUGAAAUCCCGGGGCUCAACCCCGGGCCUGCAGUGGGUACGGGCAAGCUAGAGUGCGGUAGGGGAGAUUGGAAUUCCUGGUGUAGCGGUGGAAUGCGCAGAUAUCAGGAGGAACACCGAUGGCGAAGGCAGAUCUCUGGGCCGCUACUGACGCUGAGGAGCGAAAGCAUGGGGAGCGAACAGGAUUAGAUACCCUGGUAGUCCAUGCCGUAAACGUUGGGAACUAGAUGUAGGGCCUGUUCCACGGGUUCUGUGUCGUAGCUAACGCAUUAAGUUCCCCGCCUGGGGAGUACGGCCGCAAGGCUAAAACUCAAAGGAAUUGACGGGGGCCCGCACAAGCGGCGGAGCAUGCGGAUUAAUUCGAUGCAACGCGAAGAACCUUACCAAGGCUUGACAUACACUGGAAUGUGCCAGAGAUGGUUCAGCCCUUUUGGGCUGGUGUACAGGUGGUGCAUGGUUGUCGUCAGCUCGUGUCGUGAGAUGUUGGGUUAAGUCCCGCAACGAGCGCAACCCUCGUUCUAUGUUGCCAGCGCGUGAUGGUGGGAACUCAUAGGAGACUGCCGGGGUCAACUCGGAGGAAGGUGGGGAUGACGUCAAAUCAUCAUGCCCUUUAUGUCUUGGGCUUCACGCAUGCUACAAUGGUCGGUACAAAGGGUUGCGAUGCCGUGAGGUGGAGCGAAUCCCAGAAAGCCGAUCUCAGUUCGGAUCGUAGUCUGCAACUCGACUACGUGAAGUCGGAGUCGCUAGUAAUCGCAGAUCAGCAACGCUGCGGUGAAUACGUUCCCGGGCCUUGUACACACCGCCCGUCAAGUCACGAAAGUCGGUAACACCCGAAGCCGGUGGCCCAACCCUUGUGGGGGGAGCCGUCGAAGGUGGGAUAGAUGAUUGGGGUG
rnacentral:rRNA from 1 species